rnacentral:rRNA from 2 species
CUGCGGAGGGACAUUA